GAUGAACGCUGGCGGCGUGCCUAAUACAUGCAAGUCGAGCGAAUGGAUUAAGAGCUUGCUCUUAUGAAGUUAGCGGCGGGCGGGUGAGUAACACGUGGGUAACCUGCCCAUAAGACUGGGAUAACUCCGGGAAACCGGGGCUAAUACCGGAUAACAUUUUGAACCGCAUGGUUCGAAAUUGAAAGGCCGCUUCGGCUGUCACUUAUGGAUGGACCCGCGUCGCAUUAGCUAGUUGGUGAGGUAACGGCUCACCAAGGCAACGAUGCGUAGCCGACCUGAGAGGGUGAUCGGCCACACUGGGACUGAGACACGGCCCAGACUCCUACGGGAGGCAGCAGUAGGGAAUCUUCCGCAAUGGACGAAAGUCUGACGGAGCAACGCCGCGUGAGUGAUGAAGGCUUUCGGGUCGUAAAACUCUGUUGUUAGGGAAGAACAAGUGCUAGUUGAAUAAGCUGGCACCUUGACGGUACCUAACCAGAAAGCCACGGCUAACUACGUGCCAGCAGCAGCCGCGG
rnacentral:rRNA from 1 species